GCGCUCGUAGCUCAGCUGGAUAGAGUACUUGACUACGAAUCAAGGGGUCCCGGGUUCGAAUCCCUGCGGGCGCACCA
rnacentral:tRNA from 1 species